ACGUAGCAGGCCCCCGUGGAGGAUUAACACAGUGGCUGAACACCGGGAAGGAACUGGCACUUGGAGUCCGGACAUCUGAAACUUGAGUUGACAAGCCGACAUCAGUCUCCAGAGUGAAUCCAAGGAGUGGACCCAAGACAUUUGUGUUCUGUGAUGUGGUGGCAUGUUACCUGUCAUCUCUGAUGCAUAACUCCUAAAGUGUUUGCGUCUGGGGCAGUUGUACAGAUUGCAAAGGAUAAUACUCAAGAUGUCCUCCAAGGCCAACUACUCAUCAGUUUAUUCAUGUUUCUGGGACUGGAUUCAUGAAUUCAUCCUUUCAACUAUUUCAACAAGCUUUUUCAUGUAACUAAUCUGUGGAAGGUAGAAAGGGGAAAACUGUUGGGUGCUAAAAUGACAACUGGUUCAAGGGAAACAAACAAGGAGGAGCACGCCUGGGGAGGUUUUCACAGGCCAGGACUGGAAAUGCACAUUUCUCUUUUGCUCACAUUCCAAACUCCCAAGAUGGUCGUGGGCCACUUCCAAGAUGGUGGCAAGAGUCGUAUUCUCUGACCUGGGGUUCUUGGUCUCAUGGAUUCCAAGGAAUGGAAUCUUGCGCCAUGUGGAGGAGCGUCAGAUAAUUAGGCAGCAGUCCAACAAUUAGGUUUUGUGGAACUUUUACUAUGUCAUCUAUUUAUUGGAAUUCCCUCUGGAUACCAGGACCCCCUCCAGCAGAGCUUAAAGUUAUAGUUACAGGAAGUACAAAUUCCGUAUGUGGAUCCCUGGAAGUGUGAUGAGAAGAACCACUGUUUCCAAGAUCUAUUUAUUCUAUUUAUCAGGCCUAUAAAAUCAUGUAAUGGCCAUGGCUUCAACUAGACUCC
rnacentral:lncRNA from 1 species